rnacentral:lncRNA from 1 species
GUCAACAUUAAUUUUACCAUGGGAAACGGUGGCUUUUUUUAAGCAGCUAAUGGACAUUAAUUUUACCCUCGGGAAAACAUUUGGCUAGGUGUCCUUUGCUUGUUUUGCAUUGCAAGAGAUAAUGGGUUGCUUUUGCCUUUGUAAUUACAAGUUCCUCUCGUUCAUUGUUCCGAACAACAACGGCUAGGCUUUGACUUGCAAGUUCCUCUGGUUCUUUGUUCCCAACAACGGGUAAGCUUUGAUGCUUCUCCGAUUUUGGCUUUGUUCAAUCCUUUGGUUAG